GUGCUUACUUUGGCAACACAUAUACUAAAAUUGGAAUGAUACGGAGAUUAGCAUUGUCCCUGGUCAAGGAUGACACACAAAUUCAUGAAGCAUUUUAUAUAUAU
rnacentral:snRNA from 1 species